UCGAACGGUAACAGGAAGCAGCUUGCUGCUUUGCUGACGAGUGGCGGACGGGUGAGUAAUGUCUGGGAAACUGCCUGAUGGAGGGGGAUAACUACUGGAAACGGUAGCUAAUACCGCAUAACGUCGCAAGACCAAAGAGGGGGACCUUCGGGCCUCUUGCCAUCGGAUGUGCCCAGAUGGGAUUAGCUAGUAGGUGGGGUAAAGGCUCACCUAGGCGACGAUCCCUAGCUGGUCUGAGAGGAUGACCAGCCACACUGGAACUGAGACACGGUCCAGACUCCUACGGGAGGCAGCAGUGGGGAAUAUUGCACAAUGGGCGCAAGCCUGAUGCAGCCAUGCCGCGUGUAUGAAGAAGGCCUUCGGGUUGUAAAGUACUUUCAGCGGGGAGGAAGGGAGUAAAGUUAAUACCUUUGCUCAUUGACGUUACCCGCAGAAGAAGCACCGGCUAACUCCGUGCCAGCAGCCGCGGUAAUACGGAGGGUGCAAGCGUUAAUCGGAAUUACUGGGCGUAAAGCGCACGCAGGCGGUUUAUUAAGUCAGAUGUGAAAUCCCCGGGCUCAACCUGGGAGCUGCAUCUGAUACUGGCAAGCUUGAGUCUCGUAGAGGGGGGUAGAAUUCCAGGUGUAGCGGUGAAACGCGUAGAGAUCUGGAGGAAUACCGGUGGCGAAGGCGGCCCCCUGGACGAAGACUGACGCUCAGGUGCGAAAGCGUG
rnacentral:rRNA from 1 species